AUGUUUAUGGGCCUUUAUAAUAAAAAUGUGUCAUAUUCUUUCCAGUUUUUUUUUUUUUUGAUACUGGGAAUGGAACUCAGGACCUUGCACUUGCCAGGCAGAAGCUGUGCCACUGAGCUAUAUCCCCAGCAUGUCAUAUUCUUAAAUAUUUUAUAUGCAUUAUUUUACUUCUUCAGACUUCUCAUAUGCUCUAGAUUCUCAGGAGGUCAAAGUUUUUCCAGUACUGGACCAUUGAGAAGGACUGAUCAGAGCUUACAUUUCUAAAACUAUGAUCUGUGUAAGUUGAUUACUUUUUCUGUUUCCUUGCAAUAUUAAGGUUUUAGGUAAAGGUAGUUUUUUUAUUUUUUAUUUUUGUCUUUUUUUGAGAUAGGGUCUCACUAUGCAGUUCAGGCUGGCUUUGAGCUCACUUUGUAGCUCAGGCUGAUCUCGAACUUGCAACGAUCCUCCUGCCUCAGC
rnacentral:lncRNA from 1 species